rnacentral:rRNA from 1 species
AAUGAACGCUAGCGGCAGGCCUAAUACAUGCAAGUCGAACGGUGUCUUCGGACAUAGUGGCGCACGGGUGCGUAACACGUAUGCAGCCUACCUUACAUUGGGGGAUAGCCUUUCGAAAGGGAGAUUAAUACCGCAUAAGACAGUAGCUGGGCAUCCAGCAGCUGUUAAAGAUUUAUCGAUGUAAGCUGGGCAUGCGUCCAAUUAGCUAGUUGGUGAGGUAACGGCUCACCAAGGCAAUGAUUGGUAGGGGAACUGAGAGGUCAAUCCCCCACACUGGCACUGGGAUACGGGCCAGACUCCUACGGGAGGCAGCAGUAGGGAAUAUUGGGCAAUGGACGCAAGUCUGACCCAGCCAUGCCGCGUGCAGGAUGAAGGCGUUAUGCGUUGUAAACUGCUUUUAUACAGGAAGAAACGACUCUUGCGAGAGGCAUUGACGGUACUGUAUGAAUAAGCACCGGCUAACUCCGUGCCAGCAGCCGCGGUAA